rnacentral:RNase_P_RNA from 2 species
GCAGCUGGAUAGCCGCGUUGCGGAAGGUAAAAUCCGUUAAUGAGGAAAGUCCGGGCUUUAUGGAAACAAGACACCAGAUAACGUCUGGCUGGAGAAAUCCAAGGGAAAGUGCCGCAGAAAGUUACCGCCGGACUUGAUUCCGGUAAGGUUGAAAAGGCGAGGUAAGAGCUCACCGCGAAAACAGCAAUGUUUUUGGCAAGGUAAACCCUGUCUGAAGCAAGACCAAAUUAGGAGGGCUUUGAUUUUUUCAAAGUUAAACGGAGCGUUUCCACUCUGCUCCAGAGGUAGGUCGCGAUGAGCACGUCAGUGAUGCAGUGCCCAGAUGAAUGGCUAUCGUUUUGUUUUCCUUUAGGAUAAGCAAAAUACAGAACCCGGCUUAUAGGCUGCCUG